AGAAAAAGCUUUCGAUUAGCUCGACUAAACUACUACGCCCUAAUUAUAGAGGAUUCAAAUGAUAUGUCAUCGGGGAUUUCAUGUUUCGAGUGCUAGUCUUAAAUGUCCUACCAAUGGCUGAGGUCUUGCAUUUGUUGGGAAUUCUCCACAGCUCGUGUGAGCAGCAUCGGAUAGCUUACAUUUCGACCCAUAGCUCGUGUGAACAGGCUCAUUUCAUAGCUCGUGUGAGCAUUGAUGUAAAGGAAAGGUUACGGUUAUAUGUAAAGACACACUAUGUAUGAGCUUUCUCGAGUAUCCAAUGCAAUUCUAUUUAAUUAAA